rnacentral:rRNA from 1 species
GAUGAACGCUGGCGGCGUGCCUAACACAUGCAAGUCGAGCGAUCUUCUUCGGAAGAGAGCGGCGGACGGGUGAGUAACGCGUGGGUAACCUGCCCUGUACACACGGAUAACAUACCGAAAGGUAUGCUAAUACGAGAUAAUAUACUUUUAUCGCAUGGUAGAAGUAUCAAAGCUUUUGCGGUACAGGAUGGACCCGCGUCUGAUUAGCUAGUUGGUAAGGUAACGGCUUACCAAGGCGACGAUCAGUAGCCGACCUGAGAGGGUGAUCGGCCACAUUGGAACUGGAGACACGGUCCAAACUCCGUACGGGAGCAGCAGGUGGGAAUAUUGCAACAAGUGGGACGAAAGCCUGAUGCAGCAACGCCGC